GAGGAAACAGAAUGAGAAUCUGAUGAAGGGCCUGAAAAACACUUGACGUCUCCUACAACUGCUUGUUGUUCCAAAGAAAAGCUCAGAGUAAACUCCUGCGUUAUUGAAGCAGGAUGGAAGGUAACUAAUUACAGUCUAAUUUACUCCAUCAUCAGUGUUUCUGCAGACAUUUGGGUGUGUUGGUGUGUUGUGUUAAGGGCAUAAGUAGCCUGCUCACACAUGGUUGCAGAAAAUCAACACCGAUCAUUAACCUCUCACACACAUAAAUCCAGACUGUUCACUGAAGGUGUUUCUGACAUAUGGAUUCUCAUGUACUGCACAUUUUUAAGCACUUAUACUUUACUUGCGUGUUUACUUCAUUCUUCUACUCCUCAUUUCAGAGGGAAAUACUGUACUUUUUACGCCAUUACAUUUGUCAGACAUACAGACAGGGUGACAAAUUAAAAGAAAAAGCAGCAUGUGGUGUCUCAGUAAACCUCCACAACAGCUACAAUGGUCCCUGGCAUAAACUCUACAAGUCUCUGUAACUCUGCUGGAGGAACAAACACCCUUCCAUAACAUAUUCUCUCAUUGAGUCUUUUAUUUUAUGAGGGUUUAUGAGCUGUAUUGCUGCUGUCGUUUUUUGUGUGUUGAAAAUCCCACAAAUAAAUCAUGCAGUAGCUGUAAAAAAAAAAAAAAAAAAAAAAAAAAAAAAAAAAAAAGAUAUUCCCUAAUUUGCUAUUUUUGACAAUGGCAGUGGACAGGGGGUGUGACAGUUAUUUAGUCCUCUGUUCAUAGGACAUUAUUAUUACCAUACAGAAAAAAGUCUGAGAAAAUAUUAGAAAUGCUCCUUUUGCAGGGGGCGGGUCGGUGUUUGAUUGACAGCAGGUGCGCUCACGAGACAAACUAAAGAAACUUCCGGGCAGGCAGCGUGCUCUCACCAUAGACUGUAUGGUUCUCGGUGGAACUGAGAAGGUGGUGCACCGGCGUCUCACCGGGCCCAGGUGACGUUUGCAGCAGCCCCUACCUGCACGAGUAGCUGAGGUUUCGCCUGAUGCUCCUCUUGAAGAAGCUCUUGCAGCCCUCGCAGGUGAACACGCCGUAGUGCUUCCCACUGGACUUGUCACCGCACACCACGCAGUCCACCACGCAGGCCUUGUCCUCAUCCCCGACGUCCACAUCACUGCUCCCAGCCUGGGGCGAUCCGUCCUCUUCCUCCCUCCUCAGACCCCUGCUGUUGAGAAGGAGGUGGACAGCUCUUCACCUCCCAUGUUCCUGAGCUGAGAUGAUGGACUGUCAGGCUGCUGCCUGUCACCAGCUGCCUCUGAUGAGAGGAAAAAACAGCCUUACUCUGCCCUAAGAUCUGCAGGCGGUUACCCGUUCACAUGGUUUACACAGUAUUUGUACUCACCUGUUCAGUCGUUCUGUCUCGGACUCCGGGCUGACAGGGCUGGGACAAGGACUGCCUGAGUGAACGGAGCCCAAUGGGGAGCCAUCCCCACCAGUGGACAGAGGUGUUAGACCUCUGGCUGUCCUCCUGCGGAG